UCACUUACCUGGAUGGGGUCAAUGGGCGAUCAAGAAGGUCCAUGGCCUAGGUUAGUGACUUCCAUUGCACAUAGGAGGGGUGCUACCCUAAGGUCGGCCCAAGUGGUCGAGCCUACAUCAUAAUUUGUGGCAGUGGGGGCCUGCGUUCGCGCAGCCCCUGC
rnacentral:snRNA from 1 species